rnacentral:rRNA from 1 species
ACCUGACUGCUAUCGGAUUGAUACUAAGCCAUGCGAGUCAUUGUAGCAAUACAAGGCAUACGGCUCAGUAACGCGUAGUCAACCUAACCUAUGGACGGGAAUAACCUCGGGAAACUGAGAAUAAUUCCCGAUAGAACAUUAUACCUGGAAUGGUUUAUGUUCCAAAUGAUUUAUCGCCAUAGGAUGGGACUGCGGCCUAUCAGUUUGUUGGUGAGGUAAUGGCCCACCAAGACUAUUACAGGUACGGGCUCUGAGAGGAGUAGCCCGGAGAUGGGUACUGAGACACGGACCCAGGCCCUAUGGGGCGCAGCAGGCGAGAAAACUUUGCAAUGUGCGAAAGCACGACAAGGUUAAUCCGAGUGAUUUCUGCUAAAGAGAUCUUUUGUUAGUCCUAGAAACACUAACGAAUAAGGGGUGGGCAAGCUCUGGUGUCAGCCGCCGCGGUAAAACCAGCACCUCAAGUGGUCAGGAUGAUUAUUGGGCCUAAAGCAUCCGUAGCCGGCUCUGUAAGUUUUCGGUUAAAUCUGUACGCUUAACGUACAGGCUGCCGGGAAUACUGCAGAGCUAGGGAGUGGGAGAGGUAGACGGUACUCGGUAGGAAGUGGUAAAAUGCUUUGAUCUAUCGAUGACCACCUGUGGCGAAGGCGGUCUACCAGAACACGUCCGACGGUGAGGGAUGAAAGCUGGGGGAGCAAACCGGAUUAGAUACCCGGGUAGUCCCAGCUGUAAACUAUGCAAACUCAGUGAUGCAUUGGCUUGUGGCCAAUGCAGUGCUGCAGGGAAGCCGUUAAGUUUGCCGCCUGGGAAGUACGUACGCAAGUAUGAAACUUAAAGGAAUUGGCGGGGGAGCACCACAAGGGGUGAAGCCUGCGGUUC